UAGCAAGUCGGUACCACCCCUUCCCAUCCCGAACAGGACCGUGAAACGACUUUGCGCCGAUGAUAGUGCUGCAACCAGUGUGAAAGUAGGUUAUCGUCAGGC
rnacentral:rRNA from 1 species